rnacentral:rRNA from 1 species
GCCUGUUUAUCAAAAACAUGUCUCUAUGAAAAUAAAUAUAAAGUCUAGCCUGCCCACUGAGUUCUUGAAGGGCUGCGGUAAUUUGACCGUGCAAAGGUAGCAUAAUCAGUAGUCUUUUAAUUGAAGGCUUGUAUGAACGGUUGGAUGAAGGAAAAGCUGUCUCUUUUAUAAUUUAAAACUUGACUUUUAAGUGAAAAGGCUUAAAUAGCGUAGUGGGACGAUAAGACCCUAUAAAACUUUAUAUGUUGCUUGCUUUUUUUUAAAAUUCUAUUUAAAAUUUGAAAAGCAUUCUUCAUAUUUUGUUGGGGAGACAUUGAUAUAAGUUGUAACUGUCUAAAUAAAAAAUAUAAUUAUCAUUAUAAUUCGAUCCUUCUUUGUGGAUAAAAAGAAUAAGUUACUUUAGGGAUAACAGCGUGAUUUUUUCUGAGAGUUCUUAUCGAAGAAAGUAGUUGCGACCUCGAUGUUGAAUUAAAACUUCCUACAGGUGUAGCAGCUUAGUGGGCAGGUCUGUUCGACCUUUAAAGUUUUACGUGAUCUGA